AGCAGCGCCUGCCAGCAGCGCGACGUGCCGCUGCCCGAGUUGAGAAAUACACUUGCCGCCGCUUUCUUUGCCUGCGCUGCAUUUUUCGUUAUUACAGGAACACCGCACCCCUCAGCGCCGAGGACUCACGACUUAACUGCACGUGCGCAACACACGCAAACGAAGCAUUUACCAAUUACCGAAUUCGAAGCGUUAGAACGCCGGAAGCUCCGCCCGGCCGCGUUCCCACAGCCAACGUGGCUCCUCGACGGCUUCACCCGCUCUUCAGCGCCUCCCCGCCGCUCGGGGCUCGCCGUGCCCUUUCUCAAAAUGGCGGCCGCCAGCUUCACCCCGCAGCCGCGCUGCCCGGGUGACGGCUGGGUCGCGCGGUCACGUGGCGGGCGGCGGGCCGUGAUGGCGGCGCGGUGCCGGGCGGCGCGCCAGAUGGUACUGAGCCCUCCAGUAUGCCUAUGAAAAUGGUGAGAGUGACUUCUAAGGCUGUGAGUGGUGGCUGAUGAGAGAAGCUAAAGAGAGGAACCUCAAAAUUGAACUGACUGAUAUGGAAUGAAAGGGCAUUUGAUAGCAAAUGGAUCAAGGUAUGUCUGUUUUCCUUCUUAAAAGUGAAAUGUGCUUCUGAAGUUCCUUUGUUAUUACAUGUGCUUUGCUUGUCUGAUUUUCUCCAGAGAAGAGACCUUCAUCCUAUGACUGCUUCACUUCCUGACCUCUUGUGGUUGGCUGCAGGCAUGAAGCACUAACAGGAACACAGGAUCAGAUCCUUAGAUGUUUUUUUUUAUUAUUAUUAUUAUCUGAAACUUUUAUUUUCAGCCUCAUAAGUGUAUGCUGAAUAGGAAGCACAAAUUCAUCUUCUUACUGGCUGGCAAAUAGCUGAUUUUAUAAGUCAGAGAUCCAGAAUUCCUUCAGAUUCUCAGGUGACGUUCCAACAGAUACGAUGCCUUUAAAUUAUUGGUAUACAGCUCCAGGUUUUUAUUACAUGUUCUGAUUUGCCUUUUCCAUAAAGUAAGAGCUCUGUAUUUUAACAUCAUAAAGUUAAUCUGCCUGUAUGUUUCUUAGGGUCUCUCUCAGGUUGUUAGUCUUCAGUUAUGAAGAAUAGGUGUAAGGAUUUUGUUAUCUGGGGUAUCUGUGCAACUUCUUUCUGAGAAUCCAGUCUAAAAUGUGCUGCAGUCUUUUGAUAUGUUUACUGUCUUCUGUACAUUUUCUUGCCAAACUGAAAUCUGGAAGGAAGUUGUUGAGAAGUCAUGUAAAUCAUCUUAAGAUAGACUAGAAGACUUUGUUUCCAGUGAAACAAUGACUGCUCUAAAAAAAAGCCUUAUUAAAGAAAGGGAAGACACCACUAUCUUAAGCAAAAUCAUUUCAAAACUUACAGCUUUUAUGUAACUUCAUUUUGUAUAAAUAAAGAUAAAUGCAUGGUCUGAAAUAAUUGAAAGAGAGCACAGCAGAAAGCAUCCGCAUGCUUGUAAAAGGAAAUUUGAGUUGACUCUUGUCUCCUGCAAAUUUAAAGGUUUAACAAACUUGCUACGUAACUUCUUGGCUCUCAUAUGCUUUAGUAUCUUAUUUGGAGGUUGGUCCUACUCCUGUUGUUUUCUUCCUUUUACAAGCCCUUUACGAUAACACAAGCCCCACUGGUUUAGCAUUCCAGCAGCUCGAUCUUGUAUUCAGAAAUUAUUAUAGAACAGAUCCAAAUCUGUAAAUGCAAUAUUGCUUUUAUCUUGGCUUUUGUAUUGUAAAUCAAUUCUUCCUGAUGAAGGGAGGCUUACCUUUCUGCUCAUUUCAAAGGGAAAGACAGAACAGUUGCAAGGAGGAUAGGUGACAGGACAGGGCAGGAGCACAGGGACCUUCAAGGCAUUCCUGAGCACAGCCCACUUCUCGCCAUGUCACUCCAGCGUGCCUACAGUAGCCGGUGAAUCUUCCUCUCCUCUUUCCCUCCCUUUGCCAACUUUGAUUCUCGGUCCAAUGAGACAGAGGUGAGACCCCUCCAGCAGGCCAAGGUUGGCAGGCAGGUGUGAGGAGGAGAAGAACAAGGUGGAGUUCAUACAUCCACGUGAGUAAUUGGUGGGAAGCACUGGGGACAGCAGUCAUACUUUAUUCAAUCUGGCACUCAACUUUUUGGGCAGCUCCUUUUGUGAAACCCCCUUUCCCAGCAUGGAGUUCAGCUCCAGCUAAAGGGAUCAACGGAAUCCAGGAAUGGUUGGGUGUGGAGGGAUCUCAAAGCCCUCACAGGCCCAGCCUCUGCUGUGGGCUGGUUGCCACCCACUAGAUCAGGCUGCCCACAGCCCCAUCCAGCCUGGCCUUGAGCACCUCCAAGGAUGGGGCAGCCGCAGCUUCCCUGGGCAGCCUGUACCAGUGCUGACCUCUCCCAGCCUGCUGGGAUGGGUGACAAGAGGCUGCAGCGCUGGCAGGAGGAACCCACGUUUCCCCAGAUGGUGUCAGGGAAACAGGCAGGAUGGAUGGUUCCUUGCAUGUGACAGUCCUGCAAAGGAUCCUGCCCCUGCUGCUCUGUUCUUCCUUCCCUGUGGGGAAGAUCCCAGAGCUCCUGCUGGAGCAGCAGAAGCUCCCAGGACAAGUACCAGCAGAUUCUCUCUUUGCAGGCUCUGCUCCACUUCUUCCACUCCCAGCACGUGCACAUUCAUAUGAGAGCCCUGUAUGGUAUUCUAUGGAUGUUUGUGGAUUUUAUGGAAAAAGGAGCCAGACACUCAUCAGACAGGCUGUCUCCCAUUCUCCACAUCCCAGAGCAGCUCAGGGGUGCCUGCAGCUGGGAGCUCUCAGCAGGGCUCUGUCCUGAACAAGGUCUUUGCCCUGUCUUCAUCCCCACUCUUCCCUCUCAAGGCCCUGCUAUGCCUCCACUCCACUCUGCCUUCCUCUCUUCUUCUGUCACUCGGGACUGGUACCAUGCUGAAAAUUGCGAGUUUAUAUAUGAGUCAGUCAUCAAGAUCUACUUCCCAAUCCUGGGAGAGCUGCUGGGUCACCUCUGCCUUUUCAGCUGUGGCCUUGAUACCACCAGAAUUCCAGCUAUAGAUGUGCUUUGUCAUGUCCAUGCAUUUGUCAGACACAAAAGAGGUAAGAGAAGAUGGAUCAGGCAGCAUCUCUCUGCUCCUCUGUCUGCUCAUGUCUCCUGUUCUUAUGCUUCUUGUGCUUCGUGAAGCCUGACCAUGGAGUCUGCAAGUUUCCUGAGCUCCUUUACUCUUCAGAGCUUCAUCCUUCCUAAGCUCCCUCUUGUUCCCAGCACCCACUGCCUUUAGCUGUAUAAUCCCUUUCCUUCACUCUCCUCAAUGUGGGUCCCAUCAACCUAGGUCUCCUGCGCCAUGGGUCUCCUACACCAUGGGUCUCCUACACAAUGGGUGCCGUUUUCAGUUUAAACCAGCUUUUCCCCAGUUGCUGAGUUUGAUGACAAGGACAUUUCCUUCUGAUUCUUCUGUUUCCUCCCUUUUAGAGACAGCCCUGACAGAAGUGAUAGAAAAGUAUGUGCAUCUCUGUGAGAAGCUGCAUGUGAGAAUUUUGCAUGUGAUAACUUAUCCAGUCCCAGUGACUGUGCCAAGGCGAUGUCCUGCCUUGCUGAGGAUCUUGUUCACAGCAUCAGCAGGAAAUGUUUGUGAGCAAGGGGAGUGUCAUGGCAGCAGAUCCAGCCCUCCUAGCUGUCAGCAAACCCUUCUUACCAACUGCCCAUGUCCUCGUCCACAGUCCUUCUUCCAGAGCCCUCUCUUGCCGUCCUGUACCACGCAGUGACAGAAGCUGAUGCUUCCAGCUUUCCUACAGACUGCUGCCAGCAUCUCUCUGCAGAGCUGCUCUCCCUGCUUGACCAGGAAGCACUAUUGGGAUGGUCAGUGUGACAUGUCUUCUCUCCCCUGCUUUCACCCACAGGCAUUUGGAGGAUACCUCAGGCCUGCUGAGAGGAUGGACAUCGUCCUCACAGCCCUUGAACUGAUGGCUGACUCCAGCAUCUAUGCCAGGGAGUCAGCCUGCAGUGCGAUGGCCGUGGCCAUGGAAGACUACCCCUUCUGGAUACCAGAUAAAACCUCCAUCCACAAGAACUUGAGGAGCAUCGCCGCAAAGGCAGUGCAGCACUGCCUGAACUCCGUGCUCCUCCGUCUGACCAGCCAGAUGGCCACGGAAGUAGUCAGGAACCUGCUGAAGUCCUCUGCACCUAGCGACAGCAACACCCUAGACAUGUGGGAGGUGAUGCUCUGCAUGCCACGGACUUUGGAGAAGGUUUCGAAGAAGGUGACCAAGGGUUCACAGCUGAGCAGGCUGGUAGGAGUCACAGAAGACACGUGCAUCCUCUUCUUGGUGCUAAUGGCAAAGAGCAAAGAUAGUGAAGACUCUUGGUGACCUACGCCACCUCAAGACUUUUCUGAAGCAUCCAAGCGUGGAGAUGCACAGGGUGGUGCUCAGAGAGCUUGUCAUACUCUCUGAGACAUGAGAGAAGGUGAGUGGGGCGUUGUCAACAGAAGUGGCACUGGGCUUCUUGGGCAGCAAUGGGAGGAGCAGCUAAAGCCCAGCUUUUACUAUGGGCUAGUUGUCAUCUACCAGAUCAGGUUGCCCAUGGCCCCAUCCAUCCUGGCCUUGAGCACCUCCAGGGAUGGGGUACCUACAGCUUCUCUGGGCAGCCUGGUCACCACUCUCUGAGAAAAGAAUUUUCCCAUUGGCCUCUCUGAGUGCUCCUAUGACCGCUUCUGCUGUGAUUGCUAUGCCAGCUGCCAGGAAGUGAAGCAGGACGCUGGAGCUCAGAGACAGGAGUGUUUUGCCCAGGCAGUCAUUCCCCACAUCAGACAAAGGUACUUGCGUUUCCUACAGGCAAGAAAAAUGCAGGUCUUGCUGCCAGAGAUCAUGGCCGCCCUGCAGGAUGCCAGCUCAUACAUCAAGAUGAAGACCCUGUUUGUCAUUCAAAACAUCAUGGGCUGCAUGAAAAGGAGACCAGCUCCAUUGCUGUGCAGCACGCUGAGGAGCUCCUGCCUCUCUUUAUGGAUAUAAGUGAGGCUGCUGUAGGAGGCAGAGCCCUUGCAGUGGCACUCUGCAGUGCCACUGCCUCUGGCCCAGCUGUGCGGGCAGCACUCUCAUUGGGCCCUCUCCCCUCUUUGCUCCUCCUGGGGCUCCUUCUGGGCAGGGGGACAGCUGUGAGCCCUCAGAGAACCCUGCCCAGCAUGUGCUCCCUGCAGUUGGCUUCCAGCCCUCCAAUCCUCCUCUGCUGCCUGUGCAAAGCCAGGCCAGGCCUGGUCCCCGCGCAUGGUGCAGGAAGGCCUGCAGGCGCUGCGUGCCAUGGAGGCAAUGUGAAGGCAGCCCAGCCUCCUCGUGCUAAAAUUCUCUUUCUCCCUCCCAGGAGUUGAGCGCUGAGCGGGUGUCCUCCAUCCAUCUUUACAGAGACAUGGUGUAGGCCAUGGUCUGGUGCCACCAGAGGAGAAUGCCUGGCCUGGUCCCACUGCUCCUUUGGAUGAGUGAUGAGAACCAGGACCUGGCCCAGAGUGCUGGGAAAAGGCUCCUGGCCCUGCCAAGAGGAGGGCAAUCCCAGGUCUCCUUCCUUGGGCCAUGGUGCCAUCUCCCAGCUUCUGCUUCUCUGCGGGCUGCUGGGAGAGCCAUUGUACAAACAGCCAAUCUCCUGCACUGGAACGACUUCCGGGAGCUGGUUGAAAAACAGGAGAUGUGGAGGAUUGCGGAGUGCUAGCUGCAGUGGGACCAGAGUAGGGCAGAGGAAUACCUGCAGCAGAGCCAGCCCUUCCUGUAGGACCCUCAGGUGGCCUUGUGAGAGGAGGCUGUGAGGUUCAUUGGUGUGCCACAGCCCCUUUGUUCUUCUCUUGGCGGUGUUUGGCUGUCCCAGCCACUGCCCUCUGACACUAGGAGCCCCUUGAGCGGAUCCCAGUGCCCUGGUGCCUUGCUCAGGCCCUCCUCGGCCACUCUCGCUGCUGGGGAGCAAUGCAGUUCUGCUGCUGGGAGCAGGAUCUCACAGGUGCUCUGUGCCUAGGGCUUGCUGCGCGCUACUCAAGGGACCUGAGUGAGAAGAAGCUACAGGAUAUCAUCAGGGGUGAGGGCUGUGGUGUUUGUACUGAAGCCUGGGGCAGAGAUCCCCAUGCCUUGUUCUCCUCCAAGGAAAUUCUUGGGGCUGAGGGACAAUACAGAACCAUAGAAUCCUAGGAAGGUUUGCUUUCAAGCAACCUUAUGAAUCACAGCACCAUGGAAUCCUAGUGAUUAGGUGGGAAGGGACCUGAAAGAUCGUGCAGCCAUGAUAUCCCAGGGUGGUCGAAUGGUUAUGUUGGAAUGGAUGUUAAAGGCCACCCAGUUCUAAGCCCUUGCUGUGUCCAGGAUGCCCCCCAGUGGAUCAGAUUGCCCAGGGCCCCAUCCAACCUGGUCUUGAGCAGCUCCGGGGAUGGGGAACCCACGUUUUCUGGGUUGCCUGUGUCAGGGUCUCUCUGCCCUCUGAGGGAAGAACUUUCUCCUAAGUCAGAGUCAAGGGGAAAAAGCAGCAAGGCUGAUAUUGUGGUGGGAACCUAACCUGGCAGCUCAGACCACAUUGAUCCUUGGGACAACCAUGAGGACAGUGACAUCACGACAGAGCCUGCGAGCACUGUGUUGUCUGUUCUGCUGAGCUGCAGCACUCCUCUGACAGCUCUGUCCCUCAGAGGAGCACAGCAAACCCAGUGCCCUGCUGCCCUUCACACUGGGACAUCCCUGUGCAUGCUCAGCAGGCGCCGCCAUUCCUGGCCUCUGCUGCUGGCUGCAGGACAGCACAGUGCAUCCCUCUGCACUCCCAAGGCAUGGCUGACCAAGCUGUUGGCUUGGCUGAGUGAAGAUGUCUCAGGCCACAUAUACGUACCUUGAUUUAAUGUAUGGAAGUAACAAACCUUCUUUUUGUAUAUCCAUGUAUUUAAUAAAAUAUUUUUAA